GGGUGUAAAGGGUGCGCAGGCGGGACUGCAAGUUGGAUGUGAAAAUCCGAGGCUCAACCUCGGAACUGCAUCCAAAACUGUGGUUCUUGAGUGGAGCAGAGGUAAGCGGAAUUCCGAGUGUAGCGGUGAAAUGCGUAGAUAUUCGGAGGAACACCAGUGGCGAAGGCGGCUUACUGGGCUCUAACUGACGCUGAGGCACGAAAGUGUGGGUAGCAAACAGGAUUAGAUACCCUGGUAGUCCACACUGUAAACGAUGAAUGCUAGGUGUAGGAGGACUGACCCCUUCUGUGCCGGAGUUAACACAUUAAGCAUUCCACCUGGGGAGUACGACCGCAAGGUUGAAACUCAAAGGAAUUGACGGGGGCCCGCACAAGCAGUGGAGUAUGUGGUUUAAUUCGAAGCAACGCGAAGAACCUUACCAGGUCUUGACAUCCAACUAACGAAGUAGAGAUACAUUAGGUGCCCUUCGGGGAAAGUUGAGACAGGUGGUGCAUGGUUGUCGUCAGCUCGUGUCGUGAGAUGUUGGGUUAAGUCCCGCAACGAGCGCAACCCCUGCCGAUAGUUGCUACGCAAGAGCACUCUAUCGGGACCGCUACCGACAAGGUGGAGGAAGGUGGGGACGACGUCAAAUCAUCAUGCCCUUUAUGACCUGGGCUACACACGUACUACAAUGGCCGUUAACAGAGGGAAGCAAUAUCGCGAGAUGGAGCAAAACCCUAAAAACGGUCCCAGUUCAGAUUGCAGGCUGCAACUCGCCUGUAUGAAGUUGGAAUUGCUAGUAAUCGCGG
rnacentral:rRNA from 1 species